GUACAUAGUAGGCAUUUGCUUACUUUUUCAAUUUCUUCAAAGAAGGUAUCAAUGAAGUCCCUCCUGACCGCAGGGUCCCAGGUGUCUCUGUGUUUCUGGAUGAUUGCUCUUAGGAAGUCUAGUACACAUCACAGUGAUGUCUAGUGGUACGCCCCCCGCACCUGAGAGCUUUGACUCUCCCUCCCCGCACCUCCAGCUAAGGACUUGCCGUCUGCUGUAUGGACACUUGGAAUAAAGCAUUGUUUGGCAAAUACUUCUCAGUGGGUUACUUCAUGCUUACACUGGCUUCUGCAAUGUUCUGAGUCACCUUGUUACCUGCCGCCAUACGAUGAUGUAAUGCAAAUCUAAAACAUGAAAUAAGAUUGUGCAACAUAUCUGAAACUCAAAUGAACAACAAUUUAUUUCAGAUCACUUAAGUUCACUCUGUAUUUUCAAAGCUGCAUGAGAAAGGUCAUGGGCAGCGGGGAAAGUGCUGCCCUUGAAAUGAUGUCUACCUGAGGGUCAGCAGGGAGACUGCAAUGUCCAGUGUCAAGUCAGAUAACCAGAUAUGUGGAGAAAGAAGAGGGAUCUGGGAAAGUAGGAUUAGUGCCAUGGGGCUCUCAAAUGCAAAUAAAAGUGUAAGCGUUCACACAAAAAAAGUGCAUGAGGAUGCGGUCCAUUGCAAGCCCUUCUCCGAAAGGAGAGAGAGGCCCCCCAACAAACCGAACCCUUCGCCUCCAGGCCAAAAGGCACCUGCAAGGUUCCAGGUACAAUGUCCCCUUUUGCCGGCACUACUAAGGGACAGAAAAGAGCUCCUGACGAACUUCUAGCCAUUAACCAAGUUGCCAAAUAGGAACCAGUAAAACCAGUUCGGCAUUCCUGCUUCGGCUAUGGCAGGGAGGUGAGGAACCUAAUGGCCACACACACCUCCCCCUAGACCUGCAGGACGGACACCCUUUAGGGCUACCGCACCAUGACCAAAUCUUAGUGUAUAUAAAAGAAACAAAAAUGUGAGCACAGACAAAACAUAAAGAGUAAAGUAGUGGAUGUGCAAAGUGUGAUACUGCCCGGACAUCCGGCCGGAUCUAUAAAAAUUCCUCUGUUGAUCAACAGCCAGAAGGCCGGAAAGCUAGAGGUGAGUGCUGAGAAGAGUGAGAGAAAAAGUGGUUGCUGCAAGCCAUCAGUCAAGUGGGGUCACUACUCCCAGGUGAGUUCCGAUACCCUGGGGUCACCACCCCCAGGGCACUAUUGCACCCGGGCUCUUACCCUACCUGAUCCAGAAGAUACAGGUCCCCUCAGGGCCCACUGCACGGACAUACAACUGACCCCAAUACACCUGCACCAUUCUGGGUGGUUCCCAUAUCCUGUCUUGGUAGUCUUCCACACCACCAACUAACAGGAAGGUACUACACCGAAUCUUAGCCAAAAUGCCAAGAAAAGCCACUAGGACAGGUAGGAUGGGUAUCUUGAAAAGCUAAAAGAGACCUCAAGCUAAAGACCUAGCAGACAUAGUGAGAUCUUUGCUGGAUCAGAAUGGUCCUCAUUUGGGAUAAUGGACUGUACAUAGUUUUGGACUGUUGUACUGUUUAGCUAUCAAUAUCUUCCCAUGAUAGGACUCUGCCCGUGUAUAUUUUUUGUGUAAAGUUUUUUUCAGUGUCCUGCACUGUCCGCCUGCCAUUAUUUCUGCCCCAUUACACCCUCCUGCUCUUUACAAUCCUAGGCUUUUCAUUCAGAAUGGCCUCCCCCAGCUUUAUGUUCUUGUCACGCAGGUAAAAUAAAUCAGGACUGCUUAUAUAACCCUUCUCACCCAAGCUGCGGGCCAUGUAUGAGUAUAUGCCAGGAGAAUAUUCUUAGGAGUUGGUACGUAAUGAAACCCUGGACUGCCCUAUGCAUGGAUUAAAGCCUUCUCUUCCCACUCUAUUCCAGGUUUGGCACAUCCACUCAAAACAAAUGUCAUUAUCUGCCACAAUACAUCCUAAGUUUCAUGGGUAUGUAACACGCCUCUCAAAUUAUAUUAUUCUGUUGCUGUCCAUUCUCCAUUCUCAAUAUCUGAUAAUGCAUUCCCUUAAAUAUCCAGUGUGGCUUAACA